AUUCUGCGUUUUGCUUCCCUGCUUUCCAGAAGAGCUCUGGCGUGACUCCUGCUGCGCCAGGUGCUGCCCAUCGGAGAUGUCCCACUUCAGCCAUGAAGAGAGGUGCCCAGGUUGAGUUUCAAGAGAGGAUUUGGACUGUCUCCCAAAGCCGUGGAGAGGGGGAGGCUGUGACGACCUCCUGAGGGAUGCUGAAGCCCAGCACCCCAAACUGUCGUGACUGCCUGGGAUCGCUGACAUCUAGUGUGAUAUGUGCUGGAUCAUCAGAACGGAGUGGGAGCGGCACAGCUUGGCUUCGGGAGCCAAAAAUAGGACUUUUGGGUCACUAGAAGCUAUUUGAGUUCUACCUAUUCCUCUUAAGAAGGACUUCAGCUAUCUCAGUUCUAUACCUACAGCGUCCCUCCAUUUCACAG